ensembl:lncRNA
UGUUUACAUUUGAAUUCUAGAUCACUUAGACAUUUGGAAAUAAACGUCCUUGAUUGUUAGCAGCAUUAAAUCAGUCUACACAGCUGACAUGGACAUUUUGAAAUUUUGUUUCUCUUUCUUCUUUCUGCUACACAGUUCAACAAUCGGAGAGGACACAGUGGCGGAAGACAUUGAUGUCCAACAACUGGAACGUUUAGUGGAGAUGCUGACACAUAGGGAGUGUGAGGACCUCCUGUCUGCCCUCUCUCACCCAGAGGAAAACAUAUUUGAGCACCUUCAGCGCCUCUCACCAGAAAACAAUCUGCUAGGUCUCCAGCCUCGAGCCAAGAGAGAGGCUCCUUCUGCUCCAGAUAGUGAAGCCCAGUGCCAAACGGCCCUGACAGACUGGCUGCUGAGGUACGGCGAGAAGACCUACUAUGACAGGCUUUCACGUGCCUUGCAUCACAUCGGCAGAACAGACAUCGCCACUGAAGUGGGGAAGAACAUCAACCAGGACAAAGCCUUGAGCCUGAAGCGCUAUGUUGAAGAUUAUCACAAAUAUGUCAACUCGUUAAACUUUGUUUCAGACACAAAACAGCAAAAGCGCGGACACCAGAGGGUCAGAAAAACAAAGGUUAGCGAUCUGACAUGGCGUGACCUGGAUCUGAUUGUGGAGCAGGUUCGCGUCCCUCCAUACCAGAAGGGGCCUUUGGAUGUGGCUCUGCCAGUAUUGUACGGUCUUCUGUUGGGCUUCGGGGGCACCUUGCUCAUAGGCACAGCUUUACUCCUCAUCAUUGUCCACAUUUCUCAUGGAAGGCCUCAGAACUGUCACUCCAGAGCCACCAGCAGUUCCAGCAGUAAAGUCAUGUGAUUUGGGGAGCUUCUGGGAUGUCAGAUGUAAACAUUUCAAAUAUCAAAAAUGAAAUAAGUGCACAAAAAUAAAAGCUGAAC